rnacentral:tRNA from 1 species
GCAAUGGCGGUUCAGUGGUGGAACUCUCGCCUUCCAUGUGGGAGAGCUAGGUUCAACUUCUGGCCAGAGCA